rnacentral:rRNA from 1 species
GACGAACGCUGGCGGCGUGCCUAAUACAUGCAAGUAGAACGCACAGUUUAUACCGUAGCUUGCUACACCAUAGACUGUGAGUUGCGAACGGGUGAGUAACGCGUAGGUAACCUGCCUGGUAGCGGGGGAUAACUAUUGGAAACGAUAGCUAAUACCGCAUAAUAUUAAUUAUUGCAUGAUAAUUAAUUGAAAGGUGCAAUUGCACCACUACCAGAUGGACCUGCGUUGUAUUAGCUAGUAGGGGAGGUAACGGCUCACCUAGGCGACGAUACAUAGCCGACCUGAGAGGGUGAUCGGCCACACUGGGACUGAGACACGGCCCAGACUCCUACGGGAGGCAGCCGUAGGGAAUCUUCGGGAAUGGACGAAAGGCUGACCGAGCAACGCCGCGUGAGUGAAGAAGGUUGUCGGAUCGUAAAGCUCUGUUGUAAGAGAAGAACGGGUGUGAGAGUGGAAAGUUCACACUGUGACGGUAUCUUACCAGAAAGGGACGGCUAACUACGUG